ACUCAAAUGAAUUGACGGGGGCCCGCACAAGCGGUGGAGCAUGUUGCUUAAUUCGAGGCAACGCGAAGAACCUUACCCGGGUUUGACAUGCAAAGGACCGCCGGUGAAAGCCGGCCUCCCUUCGGGGUCUUUGCACAGAUGCUGCAUGGCUGUCGUCAGCUCGUGCCGUGAGGUGUUCGGUUAAGUCCGGCAACGAGCGCAACCCGUGCCGCCAGUUGCCAGCAGGUGAUGCUGGGGACUCUGGCGGGACCGCCCGUGUCAAGCGGGAGGAAGGCGCGGAUGACGUCAAGUCCGUAUGGCUCUUACAUCCGGGGCUGCAAACGUGCUACAAUGGCCGGUACAAUGGGUCGCCACCCCGCGAGGGGCAGCCAAUCCUCAAAACCGGCCCCAGUUCGGAUCGCAGUCUGCAACUCGACUGCGUGAAGUCGGAAUCGCUAGUAAAGGGACAUCAGCAACGGUCCCUUGAAUACGUUCCCGGGCCUUGUACACACCGCCCGU
rnacentral:rRNA from 1 species